AUGGAGAAGUUCACCUUCGAUGAUGUUAGCCGUAUUGCUUCCCCCACACAUGAGCCUGAGAUGGAGAGCUUCAUGGUUGAGUAUGGUGAGGUGGAUUCAGAUGUCAAGGAGCCAAGCUCUACUAUUUCACUUGUUGACACGAGUCCGGUUGAAAUUUCUACUACCACACCUCACUUGGUAUCUUCAAUUGAGGUAGUUCUGAAGCUUCUUCCUAACUAUCUCAGGUUUUUGCUUGUGCACGAUCCGUUACAUGCUAACCAGGUUCGAGGUGACAUUCCUUGGGACCCUGGUGGACUCAGAGCAUGGGGAUGA
rnacentral:rRNA from 1 species